rnacentral:rRNA from 1 species
GUAGUCCACGCCCUAAACGAUGCGAACUGGACGUUGGGUGCAAUUGAGCAUUCAGUGUCGAAGCUAACGCGUUAAGUUCGCCGCCUGGGGAGUACGGUCGCAAGACUGAAACUCAAAGGAAUUGACGGGGGCCCGCACAAGCGGUGGAGUAUGUGGUUUAAUUCGAUGCAACGCGAAGAACCUUACCUGGUCUUGACAUCCACGGAACUGCCCAGAGAUGGGCGGGUGCCUUCGGGAACCGUGAGACAGGUGCUGCAUGGCUGUCGUCAGCUCGUGUCGUGAGAUGUUGGGUUAAGUCCCGCAACGAGCGCAACCCUUGUCCUUAGUUGCCAGCACGUAAUGGUGGGAACUCUAAGGAGACUGCCGGUGACAAACCGGA